rnacentral:rRNA from 1 species
UACGUAGGUGGCGAGCGUUGUCCGGAUUUACUGGGCGUAAAGAGCGCGCAGGCGGUCGUUCAAGUCGCGUGUGAAAGCCCCCGGCUCAACUGGGGAGGGUCACGCGAUACUGAUCGACUCGAAGGCAGGAGAGGGAAGUGGAAUUCCUGGUGUAGCGGUGAAAUGCGCAGAUAUCAGGAGGAACACCAAUGGCGAAGGCAGCUCGCUGGGACGUGACUGACGCUGAGACGCGAAAGCGUGGGGAGCAAACAGG